rnacentral:rRNA from 1 species
UAGAGUCUCGUAGAGGGGGGUAGAAUUCCAGGUGUAGCGGUGAAAUGCGUAGAGAUCUGGAGGAAUACCGGUGGCGAAG